CCGCUCUUCCAGCUAAACUCCACCCCACUCCCAUUAGCAGCCUCUGGAAAGCAAAGGGAGUUCCUGUCUUGGUGCCCCAAACCUCUUAGCUGGGGUGAGUUUUGCCUCUCCCACUCCUCACAGCAAUCGGGAUCCAGCCAUACAUCUCCCCAGAAACACCAGAGACAAAGAGGAAGAAAAAGAGAGAGAAGAGUGAGACAGAGAAAGACUGUCUUCCAGGACCCUGAGGAUUUACCCCAUGUGGACGUUACAACUGACCAUCACAAGCCGAGCACGAGACAGGAUGGAGACUGGUGAAAAAGGAGGAACGCCUUCUGGAGUUUCACCCAGGAAGAUCUAGUUCUGUUUGUGCCUGAAGGGAAAGAAGACCAGGGAUCCCGGCCUUCCUUCUCCCUCAUGUGAGUGACCGUAAUCCAUGGGGGAAUUCAUCUCUUGCCCUCACCAUGGCCAAGGUCUGCUCUACACAUGGGCCCAGAGGCCACACUUUUAGUACUUCGGAGAAGCUGAUGAUGGCAUCUGUGACAUGGGAGGUCUUUCAUCCUGAGGCAAGGGUAUGAGUUCUGCCAGCCCUCUGUACCAUCUGGAAGCAACCUGGGACUAUUUGCAGGUUCACAAAUGGUAGAUGAUUGUUUCAUGGCAUGAAAGACUUAAUUUGAGCCUUAAUGGAGAGAGCAGACUAACGAAGAUUGAGGAAACAUGGCCUAUAAGAACAAAACGUGCUGAAUUUGAGUAAAGCUACACAUUCUACACAUUGUGGUCAGCACUCAGAACACUGUGGGUAGGCAGAGCUGGAACCAAUGUCCACAGAUAACUCUCCAACUUUAUUUUAACCUCCUUUUUACCUUCUCACAGACCAGUCUUGUCCUAAUUACCUUGGUUAUACAAUCCUUGUUUGCAUUUCCAGAGAGAUAGCCAUGUUUGCAAGAAAGAACAUAAGUCCCCAAGUCUGAAAGGAGUUCCAAAAAGAAGGAAAUGUGUAACAGUGAAAAGCUGUGGGGUUUUGACUCAGUCAGGCUUCAGUUCCAACCCUUGUUAUGUCAUAUGCUAUCUAUGAGAACUUUAUAGCUUCUCUGAGUUUCAGUUUGCACAGUUCAAAAUGGAACAGAUAGCAUCUAUCCUGUUAGAUUGUUAUAAAAAUCAUUAAAACAUAUGUAAAGCAUUAAAAAGCUGGCUCAUAUUAGGUAUUGAAUAAAUGGCAAGUAUUAAUA
ensembl:lncRNA